ACCAGGCUCAAGAGGCCAAAAUUAAACUCUGCUCCCACGUUCUUGAUUAAAUUGGAGAAAGUUUCUAUUCAUUCAGCACUGGAUGUUGGGACGUUGUGCGAGUUGGACGGAGCUUCAAGGGAGUGUUGUCACAUAUGCCUGCUCUGCGGUCCUUCAUGGUGGUGGAAGUGGCUGUUUUGGGAAGUUAUGCUCAAGGUAAUUAGAUGAUGAUUUGCAAUGAGGAGACUUAAAACCAGGCACCACUUCCCAAGCUGCCGAGUUUAUUGCCGCCUGAAUAUCAUUGGGUUUUGAAGUAAAAAAAAAAGCACCGCUCACAGUGGGGGAGAAACCGUACAUGUGUUGUACAUGUGGACAAGUCUUCAGCAGAUCACUGCCCGUCACGAUAUAAAUACAGCCACACUGGGGAAAGGCCAUUCAUCUGUUCCAAGGGUGGGAAAGGAUUCACUCGAUCAUCCACCUUGCUGAAACCCGAGCAAGUUCACACAGAGGACAGACCUUUGAAAUGCUCAGAAUGUGGGAGGUGUUUUAAAAACUCUGGGGCAUGAUAUCCCAACAAGAUCUUCACAGUGACGAAAGACCCUUCAUGUGCUCUCACUGUGGGUGUGGGUUCAAGCCAUCACCCAACCUCAUUCAACACCAGCGGAUCCACACUGGGGAGAGACCAUUCACCUGCUCACACGACGGGAAAGGAUUUUCUCAUAAAUCCAACCAGUUAAAACACCAGCGAUCUCUCGGAAGGUAGAGGCUGUUCUGCUGUACUGACUGUGAGAAGAGAAUCAUUGUGAAAUCCAAGCUGCUGAAACACCAGUGAAUUCAUGAGAAAUGACAGUGCCUGGUUUUUACUGUGAAUAUCUCCCUGCUUCAUAGUCUCAGCCAGAAGAUUUUGUUUCAAUUCCCACCUGAUAUGGAGCUAUGUCAAAGAACUUAAUUAGUUUUGUAAUUGAUAACUGAAUGAUAUCCACUGGGGCAGGUUUCUACUGAAGUUAAUGAACUCUAGCUCAGUUAAAGGGAUGACUGUUCUGGAUGACAGUGAAAUAAAUGCACUUUGUGUUAAACACA